ACGGAAGGCAGCAGUGGUGAAUAUUGCACAAUGGGCGAAAGCCUGAUGCAGCAACGCCGCGUGAGGGAAGACGGUCUUCGGAUUGUAAACCUUUGUCCUUGGUGACGAAACAAAUGACGGUAGCCGAGGAGGAAGCCACGGCUAACUACGUGCCAGCAGCCGCGGUAAUACGUAGGUGGCAAGCGUUGUCCGGAUUUACUGGGUGUAAAGGGAGCGCAGGCGGGGGAGCAAGUCAGCUGUGAAAUAUACGGGCUUAACUCGUAGACUGCAGUUGAAACUGUUCUUCUUGAGUGAAGUAGAGGUAGGCGGAAUUCCGAGUGUAGCGGUGAAAUGCGUAGAGAUUCGGAGGAACACCAGUGGCGAAGGCGGCCUGCUGGGCUUUAACUGACGCUGAGGCUCGAAAGUGUGGGGAGCAAACAGGAUUAGAUACCCUGGUA
rnacentral:rRNA from 1 species